GUCUACGGCCAUACCACUGAGAAAGCACCGGUUCUCGUCCGAUCACUGAAGUUAAGCUCAGUAGGGCGCGGUUAGUACUUGGAUGGGUGACC
rnacentral:rRNA from 1 species